AUUUUGUCAUAAAUUGUAUUUUUAUAUUUAAUAAGAUUUCUAUUUUUUGACAUUUUCUUUUAUGUAUCUAUUUUGUUACAUAGAUGAGUUUGUGUGACUCUACUAAGUGGCCAGUUUAUAUCUCCAAAAUCUUAGAAAUUCACUAAGCAGCAUAGAAACUGGCUUCUUUGCCUCUUUCUUCCUGGAGCCUGCAGAGCCGAGACAGAUAAAAGAUUCCAAGGGAAAGACUGGCACUACGCAUCAGGGUGUUCCAAGCUUAUUGAAGAGAGGAGAAUGCUGUUGAUCUGAUUCUAUCAACUGCAAGAUCUGUUUACAUUGUGUUAGAGUCUCUGCAGAUUUAUGAAGAGACUUUACGUACAUGACGUUGUUUCUUUCAACAACUGUACAAUCUUCCUAAUCAUCUAUCCUUCAAAGAACACCAAAAGUUGCAGACAUUAUGCAGGAUUUUCUGUUGUCAACUCACCCCCACCACUACCAUACCAUUUGAAGCCAAGAGGUAUGUUUUCGAGAGACCCCAUCCUAUGUGGUCGAAGUGAGAGCCUGCCACCCCGUGAGAUUUGGAGAUCAGAAUCUAUCAUCCUGGGGAGGUGGGGUGUGAGAUGUGUGUGCAGACAUGAGCUUCCCAGUGGCUUCUUGACAUGUUUAUAAAAG
rnacentral:lncRNA from 1 species